AAUAAACGCUGGCGGCGUGCCUAACACAUGCAAGUCGAGCGAGAAAGCUCCUUCGGGAGUUAGUAAAGCGGCGAACGGGUGAGCAACACGUGAGAAUCUACCCUUUAGUGAAGAAUACCCUCGAGAAAUCGAGGCUAAUACUGCAUACGUCCCUUCGGGGAGAAAGAUGGCCUCUUUGCUAUCGCUAAAGGAUGAGCUUGCGUACUAUUAGCUAGUUGGCGGGGUAAAGGCCCACCAAGGCAAUGAUGGUUAACCGGCCUGAGAGGGUGUACGGUCACACUGGAACUUAGACACGGUCCAGACUCCUACGGGAGGCAGCAGUGAGGAAUCUUGCGCAAUGGGCGAAAGCCUGACGCAGCGACGCCGCGUGGAGGAUGACGGUUUUCGGAUUGUAAACUCCUGUUAAGCGGGAAGAAAGCCUUGUUUCUAAUACAAGCAAGGUAUGACGGUACCGCUAGAGAAAGCACCGGCUAACUUCGUGCCAGCAGCCGCGGUAAAGUAGA
rnacentral:rRNA from 1 species